rnacentral:rRNA from 1 species
CAGAGGUCUCAAGCGUUGUUCGGAUUCAUUGGGCGUAAAGGGUGCGUAGGCGGCGCGGUAAGUCGGGUGUGAAAUCUCGGGGCUUAACUCCGAAACUGCAUUCGAUACUACCGUGCUUGAGGACUGGAGAGGAGACUGGAAUUUACGGUGUAGCGGUGAAAUGCGUAGAUAUCGUAAGGAAGACCAGUGGCGAAGGCGGGUCUCUGGACAGUUCCUGACGCUGAGGCACGAAGGCCAGGGGAGCAAACGGGAUU